CAGCAUUUCCAAGAGUUAAAUAUAGACCAGGAAGAGCUAGAUCUUAGUCCUAGUCCAGUGGAAUUUAUGAAGGGGGUUUUGUGACCUAUAAGGAGUGUAAGAAUGAAGAAGGAAAUUCUACAACGCAGGAGACAGAAUUGGACUCACUACAUCCAAUCUAGGCUCAACUUUCUAAAGCUCCCUCAAGCAGUUGAACCUUAUCAAGUGUGGCAAACUGGUACUUGAAGACGCCUGCCCUUCUCCAACCUCAGUGUAUUUUAAGGAAAAACUUUGGGUUUGUGUCAAGAAUCCCCAAGACCACACUUAGGCUUGAUAAUUUGCUGGAAAGAUCACCAGACUCAGAAAAGCUAUUAAACUUUCAUUUAUGGUC